CCCGCCGGCGACCGGCGCACGGGUGAGUAACACGUAUGAAACCUGCCCGUAGCAGGGGGAUAAGCGGAAGAAAUUCCGUCUAAUACCGCGUAACAACCCAUGGCGGCAUCUCUGUGGGUUUAAAGGAAGCGAUUCCGGCUACGGAUGGUCAUGCGUCGCAUUAGCUUGUUGGCGGGGUAACGGCCCACCAAGGCGACGAUGCGUAGGGGUUCUGAGAGGAAGGUCCCCCACAUUGGAACUGAGACACGGUCCAAACUCCUACGGGAGGCAGCAG
rnacentral:rRNA from 1 species